UGUGAAAUCAAUAUCAAGAGCAACACUAACACUUUUCACCUUAGACAAGUUUAAUGAACCUCUAUAAUAUACAGUAUGGUGUUGUGUGUAAAUUGAUUGAAUAACUUCAAGAAGCUAUUUGUCAUUGUUAAGCAAUUCAACUUACCAUACAUCUCUUUGACUCAGUCUCCAUUUAUUAUUGCACAGGUCUGAAUGUGGGGUCUACAGUCCCAUAUGCUUGGGACUAGGGACUCUAUUCAAUCAGAUCCACUUUAGCUGACACCCGCAGAGAGAUUGUUUUGGCGGUGUCAGAGAUUGAACUGUGUUAGAGCUGUCAAAUCCACAAGUGGCUCCUGGAAUUAUACCUUUGCCAUUGGCAAAUGAACAAAGUCGCAUUAAGAGAAAUCCCAUGCAGCCUUGUUUACAAGUCCGAACACUGGAAUGUGAGAACACUGGAAUGUAAUCUACACCUCGAUUAGGCUGAUAGAAUCACUCAUUAUUUUGUUUAAUGAUCUUAAAUUUGAGCGUCAUUAUUUCUUUAUAGCCUUCACUUUCUCAUUCGAAAGUGAUCCUACUGAAACAACAGUUUCACUAAGGAAGGGUGAGGAUUGCCCCCUAUCGGCCUAUUACUGUUACCACAAACAAUUCCCCAAAAGUUCCAUCCAUCCAUCCAUCCAAAGAGGGUAUAGUUUGAACAAUACAUUUUAUCAUGUUAUUGCAGAGUUAUUUAUUCAAAUAAAUAUGCAAUGCAUACACUUUGUUUUCCAUAUUAUUUCACAUAAAUAUUCAAACAGGGUUUGUCCAUGGUAGAGAUGCCAAGGUUUAAAUGCUUUUUCUGUUUUGUCUAACCAAAACAAUAUUACUAUCUGGAUCCACUGUUCUAAACACCGUUUUAUGUCAGGGGUGACAAUAGUGAUACUCCAAUUUAGAAUUGUCUGUGUUAACUCACUUUACUUUAUAACGCUAUAUAUUCUGUGUGUGUAUAGCUAAAUAAUUUAACUUUAUUGUGCCAGCUUGCAAGUCAAGAAUUCACUAAUAUUCAUAAUAAUCAUAGUUAAUAAUAUAGAAUAUUGAACAUGUAUUAUUUACAAUCUAAAAAAUGUUACUGUGUGUGUCAGGUUAAAUUGUGAAAACAUCUUGAAAUAUAUAAAACUUUAGGGUUUAGACAAAUAUUUUGCAGAUAUAGAAUAAAAUGUAUCUACUAUGCUUUUUUUGUUGUCUAAUCACACAUUAGCAACGCUACUCUAAGUUCUGAUGAAAAUCGAAGAGAAACAGUCAUGCAAGGUUAUUACAGUCAAUCAUCCAAACAUAUAAUAUUAAAUGUCAUUCUGUACAAGGAGAUCAGUCAGACUGUUUAGAAAAUAAAAGGAUAGUCACCCCCUAAUCAAAGUUUGUCAGAUGUUUUCAUAACUUCAAAGGUGAGCUAUAUUCCACACCAUCUAUUGUGUAGAUCCUGCCCGCUAUAUUGCAUUAGGAGAAAUCUAAAAGCUAUGAAAUCCAUAUUAAGUGGAAAAAUGUCUAACAUCUAUAGACAAAAAAUGGCAUGGAACAGAAACUAUGUUAAUCUUUAUAACAGACCAUUAUUGAGAUAUGAAAUACUCUCACAAACAUUCAAUGAUUUGGGAGUAAACUAUUCCUUUAAGUGCUGAGCAAGAAACAAUUAUUAUGAGCCACAAAGAUUCUUAACUCUCGAUUACAUUUAAACUAAUAAAAAAAGAUCAGUUGUCACAAUGUAUUUCAAAAGUACACAGCAUUACACAGCAUUCUCUCUUUAUGCAUUUCCAUGGUGACUCACAUCGUCAGGUGUCUCACGAUGGCUUGUCACCUUCUUUCUUCAGACGGCUGUGGAGGAAAAUAACAUUAAUAAACUAAACCCAGCAAAAAAAGAAAC
ensembl:lncRNA